AUCAUUCCGCGGGGUUCCAGACUCUCCUGCGGGGUCCUGGCUGGGGCUGAGGUUCUGGACUCUCCUGGGUGAUCUGGAACCUCAGCACCAUCCAGGAGCCGGCAGGAGAGUCCAGAACCCCGGGCUGGCUCCAGAACCUGGGGACCCUCGGGAUGAAUCCAGAACCUUCUGGAAGAACCUCAGCACCCCCCGGGACACGCCCGGAUCCGGCUUUGCCUCAUCCCCAUCUCCCCUUUUUCCCGCAGGGCUCCGGGCGGCCGUGACCCUGCUGGAGUCCGGGGGGGACCUCCAGCCCCCCGGGGGGUCCCUGCGCCUCAUCUGCCGAGGACAAGGAUUUGAGUUUAGGAACCACAACAUGUACUGGAUGCGCCAGAGACCCGGGAAGGCGCUGGAAUUCCUUGCAUUGAUCAGAAAUGAUGGUGGUUACACCGAGUACGCGCCGUCGGUGCAGGGCCGGUUCACCAUCGCCAGGGACAACGGGCAGAGCUCGGUGACGCUGAGCAUGAACAACCUCCAGGACGAGGAUUCCGGGGUUUAUUUCUGCGCCAGAUGUGUUAAUAAUCGUUGUUGGGCUGCUGCUGGAGCUGCUUUUGGUGACUAUGCUGAUGCCAGCCCCAGUGCCCCUUGA